rnacentral:rRNA from 1 species
CUCGCGCCGCUUCUCCCUCACAGCACGAACCUGAGCGAAGUCGUCGCCGUGCCUUCGUGGCCAUGGUCGUCCCCGAGCGACGACAAGAUGUCUAGAGGCAGCUCCGUCCUCUUCUCCGUCGACUUCAACCACUGGACCAAGCCGGGAGGCCCUCGCGCGUCGCCAUCGGGCUCAUCUUCGCCUCUGCAUCUCGACGGCCGCCAUCGUCAAUUCGGCCGAUCCGCUGCAACCCCGAGCCCGCCGACCCUCACUGCCGCACCAAUACCUCGAGACCGAUGUUGCCCCUGUGAUCGACUACGUCGACGGCGACCCCUCCUUGCUAGAGCAACCAGGCAAGCCCCCCCCCUUUGAUCAUCCCGAUAUCGCCCAUUCCAUUAUCUCAUGCUUGCAUUAGAUUUUGCUACUAUUAUUGUUUGCUCCUAUUCUGAUGCAUAGCCUACUUUUAUAACC